UUACCCCGAGCGCCAUUUCACCGAGGCUCCCCCCCGGCGCCUGAUCCGGCGCUUCCGGCGCCGCCUGCGCCGAAUCUCCCGGCAAAUCCGCGCCCGCAACCGCGGCCUGGAGCGGCCCUACCCCUACCUGGACCCCGCCAACAUCGAGAACAGCGUGGCCAUCUGAGACAGCCGGAAAACACCCGGAAAACACCCGGAAAUACACCCAGAAACACCCUGAAAACACCCGGAAAUACACCCAGAAACAGCCCGAAAACACCCGAAGAUACACCCCGAAAACACCCGGAAAUACACCCAGAAACACCCGGAAAUACACCCAGAAACAGCCCGAAAACACCCGGAAAUACACCCAGAAACACCCCAAAACCACCUGGAAAUACACCCAGAAACAGCCCGAAAACACCCGGAGAUACACCCAGAAACACCCGGAAAUACACCCAGAAACAGCCCGAAAACACCCAGAAACAACCCAAAAACACCCAGAAAUACACCCAGAAACAGCCCGGAAACACCCAGAAAUACACCCGGAAAUACCCAAAAAUACCCCAAAAUUGCUGGUCUGUACUGGGAGCCGUUACUGGGAUUUAUUAACCCUUACUGGUCUGUACUGGUCUGUACUGGGAGCUGUUACUGGUCUAUACUGGUCUGUACUGGGAGCUGUUACUGGUCUAUACUGGGAGCUGUUACUGGUCUGUACUGGGAGCUGUUACUGGUCUGUACUGGGAGCUGUUACUGGGAGUUAUUAACCCUUACUGGUCUGUACUGGGAGCUGUUACUGGUCUGUACUGGUCUGUACUGGGAGCUGUUACUGGGAUUUAUUAACCCUUACUGGUCUGUACUGGGAGCUGUUACUGGUCUGUACUGGGAGCUGUUACUGGGAUUUAUUAACCCUUACUGGUCUGUACUGGGAGCUGUUACUGGUCUGUACUGGGAGCUGUUACUGGGAUUUAUUAACCCUUACUGGUCUAUACUGGGAGCUGUUACUGGUCUAUACUGGGAGCUGUUACUGGUCUGUACUGGGAGCUGUUACUGGGAGUUAUUAACCCUUACUGGUCUGAACUGGGAGCCGUUACUGGUCUAUACUGGUCUAUACUGGUCUGUACUGGGAGCUGUUACUGGUCUGUACUGGGAGCUGUUACUGGUCUGUACUGGUCUAUACUGGUCUGUACUGGUGUCAAUAAAGGUGUCAAUGGAGCAGUGGCUGUGUGGGGGAAGGGUACUGGGGUGUACUGGGACAUACUGGGGCAUACUGGGGUGUACUGGGACAUACUGGGACAUACUGGGACAUACUGGGGUGUACUGGGACAUACUGGGACAUACUGGGACAUACUGGGACAUACUGGGACAUACUGGGACAUACUGGGGUGUACUGGGACAUACUGGGGCAUACUGGGGUGUACUGGGACAUACUGGGACAUA
rnacentral:lncRNA from 1 species